rnacentral:rRNA from 1 species
AACAGCCGCGGUAAUUCCAGCUCCAAUAGCGUAUAUUAAAGUUGUUGCAGUUAAAAAGCUCGUAGUUGAAUUUCGGAAUCAAUUUGUUGGUCGUGCCUCGGUACGUACUGGUAUUAUUGGUUUCUACCUUCUGAAGAACCUUGAUGUCAUUAAUUUGGUGUCUUGGGGAAUCAGGACUGUUACUUUGAAAAAAUUAGAGUGUUUAAAGCAAGCAUACGCUUGAAUACAUUAGCAUGGAAUAAUGAAAUAGGACGUUUGAUUCUAUUUUGUUGGUUUCUAGGAUCGACGUAAUGAUUAAUAGGGAUAGUUGGGGGCAUUAGUAUUCAAUUGUCAGAGGUGAAAUUCUUGGAUUUAUUGAAGACUAACUACUGCGAAAGCAUUUGCCAAGGAUGUUUUCAUUAAUCAAGAACGAAAGUUAGGGGAUCGAAGACGAUCAGAUACCGUCGUAGU